rnacentral:lncRNA from 10 species
CUGGAACUGAAACCCAGGACUCCGUCUCUUGCCAGUGAAAGUUAUGUUAGGAAGCAGUGAGGGGUCUAAAGCAGUAUGAAAGGCAAAGAGAAAAGGAAGGAAGACUGUACACAGAGAAUAAAUAACUUGGCCAAGCCAUUCAGCUAGGAAGUUGUAGAUCCUAAAUUAAGAGUUCAAGGUCUUAAUGGCUACUCUAUGCGGCCUCUCAUAGUCUUUUCAAGGGUUUUGGAGAAGAAUAAAAGAUCAGUCAUCCACAGAUGUUUGAGUGGUUACAAUGUGCCAGCCUCCCUUCUAGGUACUGGAGAUAAAGUGGGACAAGAGAGGUGAGGUCUGGACCCUUGGCACUUUCACGAUAAAAUACACAGGUAAACAUUUGCCUUUAGGGCCCCCUGUGAUUACUUCCACUCUUGCAGAUAAGAGGAUAAGGCCUCUUCAGCUUGUUCACAGCAGCUGAAAAGCAAAGCCUCUCUGUCAGUAGAGGUAAAAGAUUAAGAAUGCAGAGUCCGAUGGGGCAUUACCACAUGAUUAUGAAUUAAUGCAAUUUUCCAUCUUUUAUUUCCAAUCCAGGCAUUGCUUUUGAACUCAGUCAUCUUUUCCCCCUUGCCCACUAGUUGCUUGUGAUACAUCAGUAUCCUCACUCACCCCCAACUCCAGAGGCUGAAACUAACUCUCCUCCUCCCUCUUCCAACUGCUGAGGAAGAUGAGUCAAUGGUGUUACUGGACCCUGUGAACUGAUGCUGUGAAGAGAGGCCAUUUAACACGGACUACGGGGAAUGGUGCCACAGGGGGCUCAGUGCUGCCCUUCACUCUCAGCAUUUUGCUCACUCAGCAUUGAUGACAGGAUGUCCCAAAAGUAACAAAAGAUGGGAGCCAGUCCUCUCAUAGCUGUUUCUUCAAUCAUCCCAUCAACAGCUCUUCAUUUAUUGAACUACCUUCCUUUUCCAAAGAGGUAAUGCUGAGAUCAGUCAGAAAGGCUUUCUGAGAAA